rnacentral:antisense_RNA from 1 species
UUUGAGCGACCCCACCCGCAGCGGCUCCCGCGACCGGUCCUGCCCGUACACGGCCAUCAGCGCGUGCGCCUC